AGAACGAACGCUGGCGGCACGCCUAACACAUGCAAGUCGAGCGCCCAGCAAUGGGAGCGGCGGACGGGUGAGUAACACGUGGGAACAUGCCUUUCGGUACGGAACAACUGCGGGAAACUGCAGCUAAUGCCGUAUACGCCCUUACGGGGAAAGAUUUAUCGCCGAAAGAUUGGCCCGCGUCUGAUUAGCUAGUUGGUGAGGUAACGGCUCACCAAGGCUUCGAUCAGUAGCUGGUUUGAGAGAACGACCAGCCACAUUGGGACUGAGACACGGCCCAAACUCCUACGGGAGGCAGCAGUGGGAAUCUGGACAAUGGGGAAACCCUGAUCCAGCGAUGCCGCGUGAGUGAUGAAGGCCUUCGGGUUGUAAAACUCUUUCGGACGGGACGAUAAUGACGGUACCCGUAGAAGAAGCUCCGGCUAACUUCGUGCCAGCAGCCGC
rnacentral:rRNA from 1 species